rnacentral:tRNA from 1 species
GGUCAAGUAGCUCAGGUGGUUAAAGCACUGUUCCCAAAUGGCAGGGACCUGGGUUCAAUUCCCAGCUUGAUCA